AACGCACAUUGCGCCCCCUGGUAUUCCGGGGGGCAUGCCUGUUCGAGCGUCAUUUCACCACUCAAGCCUCGCUUGGUAUUGGGCGACGCGGUCCGCCGCGCGCCUCAAAUCGACCGGCUGGGUCUUCUGUCCCCUCAGCGUUGUGGAAACUAUUCGCUAAAGGGUGCCACGGGAGGUCACGCCGUAAAACAAGCCCAUUUCUAAGGUUGACCUCGGAUCAGGUAGGGAUACCCGCUGAACUUAA
rnacentral:misc_RNA from 1 species